CCUACGGGAGGCAGCAGUGGGGAAUAUUGCACAAUGGGGGAAACCCUGAUGCAGCGACGCCGCGUGAGUGAAGAAGUAUUUCGGUAUGUAAAGCUCUAUCAGCAGGGAAGAAAAUGACGGUACCUGUUUAGAAAGCUCCGGCGAACUACGGGCCAGCAGCCGCGGGAAUACGUAGGGAGCAAGCGUUGUCCGGAAUUACUGGGCGUAAAGGGCGCGUAGGUGGGUGCUUAAGACAGGUGUGAAAACUCUGGGCUCAACCUGGAGACUGCACUUGAAACUGGGUAUCUUGAGGGCAGGAGAGGAAAGUGGAAUUCCUAGUGUAGCGGUGAAAUGCGUAGAUAUUAGGAGGAACACCAGUGGCGAAGGCGACUUUCUGGACUGUACCUGACGCUGAGGCGCGAAAGCGUGGGUAGCGAACAGGAUUAGAUACCCCGGUAGUC
rnacentral:rRNA from 1 species